GACGAACGCUGGCGGCGUGCUUAACACAUGCAAGUCGAGCGGUAAGGCCCUUUCGGGGGUACACGAGCGGCGAACGGGUGAGUAACACGUGGGUGACCUGCCUCUAGCUCUGGGAUAAGCCUGGGAAACUGGGUCUAAUACCGGAUAUGACUCCACGGCGCAUGUUGUGGGGUGGAAAGCCUUGUGUGGCUAGAGAUGGGGCCCGCGGCCUAUCAGCUUGUUGGUGGGGUGAUGGCCACCAAGGCGACGACGGGUAGCCGGCCUGAGAGGGNGUACCGGCCACACUGGGACUGAGACACGGCCCAGACUCCUACGGGAGGCAGCAGU
rnacentral:rRNA from 1 species